CCUACGGGAGGCUGCAGUGGGGAAUAUUGGACAAUGGGGGCAACCCCGAUCCAGCCAUGCCGCGUGUGUGAAGAAGGCCCUCGGGUUGUAAAGCACUUUCAGUGAGGAAGAACGCCUGGUGGUUAAUACCCAUCAGGAAAGACAUCACUCACAGAAGAAGCACCGGCUAACUCCGUGCCAGCAGCCGCGGUAAUACGGAGGGUGCGAGCGUUAAUCGGAAUUACUGGGCGUAAAGCGCGCGUAGGUGGCUUGAUAAGCCGGUUGUGAAAGCCCCGGGCUCAACCUGGGAACGGCAUCCGGAACUGUCAAGCUAGAGUGCAGGAGAGGAAGGUAGAAUUCCCGGUGUAGCGGUGAAAUGCGUAGAGAUCGGGAGGAAUACCAGUGGCGAAGGCGGCCUUCUGGACUGACACUGACACUGAGGUGCGAAAGCGUGGGUAGCAAACAGGAUUAGAUACCCUUGUAGUC
rnacentral:rRNA from 1 species